GCACGAGUUCAGACUCGUAGCAGAUAGCUCAGUAACACGUGGCCAAACUACCCUAUGGAUCCGGAUAACCUCGGGAAACUGAGGCUAAUCCGGAAUACGACUCUCAGCCUGGAACUGGCGAGAGUCAGAAACGCUCCGGCGCCAUAGGAUGUGGCUGCGGCCGAUUAGGUAGACGGUGGGGUAACGGCCCACCGUGCCCAUAAUCGGUACGGGUUGUGAGAGCAAGAGCCCGGAGACGGUAUCUGAGACAAGAUACCGGGCCCUACGGGGCGCAGCAGGCGCGAAACCUUUACACUGCACGAAAGUGCGAUAAGGGGACUCCAAGUGCGAGGGCAUAUAGUCCUCGCUUUUCACUACCGUAAGGUGGUAGUAGAAUAAGUGCUGGGCAAGACCGGUGCCAGCCGCCGCGGUAAUACCGGCAGCACGAGUGAUGACCGCUCUUAUUGGGCCUAAAGCGUCCGUAGCUGGCCACGCAAGUCUAUCGGGAAAUCCGCGCGCUCAACGCGCGGGCGUCCGGUGGAAACUGUGUGGCUUGGGACCGGAAGAUCUGAAGGGUACGUCCGGGGUAGGAGUGAAAUCCCGUAAUCCUGGACGGACCACCGGUGGCGAAAGCGCUCUGGAAAGACGGAUCCGACGGUGAGGGACGAAAGCUCGGGUCACGAACCGGAUUAGAUACCCGGGUAGUCCGAGCUGUAAACGAUGUCUGCUAGGUGUGCCACAGGCUACGAGCCUGUGGUGUGCCGUAGGGAAGCCGUGAAGCAGACCGCCUGGGAAGUACGUCCGCA
rnacentral:rRNA from 1 species